AAAUGCCCUGCUGGCAGACUAACAGGCUGCUACCUCCAGCAGAGUACUACUGAAAAAAAUGCAGAGGCAAUGAAGUUUUUCAAGUGGCAAAAAGGUUUACAGAGGUAGUAACAGCUAACAUAAAAAGGAAAAGUGGCAAGUUGCACAAGUUCCAGCUCACUUCUGACUUCAGAAAGGCUUGCAAUUCUAAUGCACCUCCUAUACCAGCCACUCGGAGAUGAGCUUCAUCUUCCCUGAUAAGAAGGUAUAUCUUCUUUGGCUCUGCCUUCUUUUUGUGCUAUAGGAGGAAUUAAAAAAGAAAGACACACUGGUCCUGCAGAUUGUGAAGGGUUUAUCAUCUCUGCACAGACUAUUUUGGAGAAGUCCAACCUGUACAGCCUGCAGUGGGCUGAAGCAGUCCCUGAAGUGGACAAGCAGAUCGUCUGCUGCAUUCAGCCACCUCUGCAACACUGUUAUUCCUCUGAACUCAUCAACAGAACUAAACCAAGACUAUACCAUUUAUAUAAAAAAAUUAAUCUCUGAAGCUUCUAAGAUGCAAAGAAAUAUUUGACAGCUGGGAAUCAAAGAGAUUAAGGAAGAGAUUUUGCUGCCUAAAACCAGAGCCUUCUGCUAAUCCUCCAGGCAUGCCUUGCAAGCUCUGCUGCUUCCAUGGUCCAACUCUUCCUGUUUUGCAACAGCUCUGUCAUCAGCAAUAAUGAAAACAAAUGCUUUCUUCCCUCCACUCAGUGGCCCACCAGCAGAAGUCAGUGAGAUCUCCAGGGAAGCCAGUUGGCAGGACAGCUGCAGGUUCUGCUGGCUUAGUUAACAGGCGUCAUGCAAGAGGAUUAGGCACCCAGUUCUAGAAUGGGGCAUCAGUCUGCCCUUUCCAGCUCUAAAGGCAUCAUCCCUUGCUACAGGGCCUAUCCAUUCACAGUGCAAACCAGCUGAUGGACCUGGGAACUGCUGUGUUUCUGACUCUCUUUUGUCCUGUGAAGAUACAAAGGAGUUAACCUUUGCAGGAGGCAAAGAUUAUUGCUGCUUGGUUGCUCUGUCAGUGAAGCAAUGCAGCAUUUACAGUUCCUGGCUGUAGCUAGACCUCUGAAAGAUACAACUGCUACUCAAAGAUCACAGGUAGCACUCAUCCAUCACCUGGAGAUACAGUAAAGAGACACAGGCCAAUCUGUAGUAAGCAAGUUUAUUUCGUCUCUUCUGACAUCUAUAGAUUAGUCAGCUGCCAAGAAGAUACAAUAAUGUGCUUCACCAGGAGUAACUUUCUGAACUCAUCAGGAAUUCUUGACGAGAUGAGCACAUGCUGAAGCUGUUGCUGGUCCCUGUCCCAGUGGCCACAUCCCCACUAAUGAAGGAGCAACGCUGAGCCUUUACUGAGUGUCGGACUUGGAGCACACAGAAAACCCUCUUCAUGCUGAGGCUUCAGGCAGGAGACGUGCCCUCCCUUCCCCCAUUGUCAUCUGUUCCCAAGUUGGUUCAGGCAGCCACUGAUCUGGAUGAAUGAGCCAGAUUCAGUGCAGUGAGAGAAGCAUCUGCCUGACUCAGGCCACCAAAGAGCAUCUGCCACUGGCAUUGUUUCUGAGUGAUGCCAGAGAAAGGACAGGACCCGAGGGGUAAAAGUUUCAUCUUAGAACUUGAGGAUUGUCUUUUUUGCCUCACCCCAGCAGCAGUGCUUUACAGACACAACUAUAAACAGCUACUGCAUGUUAAGAAUCCAGCUGGCAUGUCUACCUAGAGGGUAAAUGGUUGGUUUUCCCACACACACUCCCCAAAGGUAGCGGAAGAGCUGCUUCGUCUGCUGAUCUGUGUCAGCACAGGCAGUAGGAGCUGUCAGCCAGCCCUGGCAGACCUGCAAAAAAUCAGGUCACCCUCCCUGCUCACACCUUUGGGUGAGCAGCCUUCCUAGGCCUGGGAAAUAAGAAUUUCAGGGGUUUCCUCAACAAUAAUUUUUCCAUGGCCUCAAAGUGCUGAUUAGGCUGUGCUGCCCAUGUAGGGCACAGAAGGGAAGGCAAGUAGAUGGAAAAAAAUGCAACCACUUCUUCCAGAGGCACUGUGUAAAAUACACCCCUGCGAUUUCCCACCACUAGGGAGUGAUCCACUUUGAUUAUCCUGGCCCUGAUUAUCUCCUACGCCUCCUUUUACAUUAGAGCAGUGUAAAGAGGCCAGGAAAAGAUCUGGACACGAUCUUCUUCUUAAGGUGCAAUUCUUCAUGGGGUGCCUUAGCACAACAUCCCAGGAAAGAUGGAAAAGGAAGCACAUCAUCAGCCAGCAUCUCAGUGGCUCACAGACAGCACGCUAUCGACUGCUUGAGGGAGCACAAAUCCAUUUUUGUCUUUUUUUUUUGGCCCGGAGAAAAAAAAGGAGAAAAAAAAUGCAAUUUAACCCGUGUCUGCAUCACUUCAAGCAAACCAGUCCAUCCAGGCACACAGUAACUUCACCCACAAUUUCAGGCUCAGAACCAGACAUUUCUAUCCAGGCCAUCAAUAAAUUUUGGAUGGGGAGCCACAGUGGACAACAGCAUCUCAUAGCUAUUGUGGGCUUCAUCAUAAGGUGUCAGUAUUAAGCCUUCCACUACCUCAUCCCCUGCCAGAAAAAUAAUUUCCUUGCAUGGUGUCCGAUUACCCAAGUGACAAAACCUCAAAGGCAGUUCAGAGAUAACAGGAGUCAGUGCAGGCCAAUGCCUUUAAAGAGACUUUCCAUCCUGUCUUAAGCUCAGUAAAAAUUAAUUGGGCCUGAGGGGUCAAAUUUUUGUAAACACAUUUAGGUACAGCUAGUUAUCUAAUUCCCAGAGUUGCCUGUGAAAAACUCACCUAAGGCUUAUCUGAAUCCUUAGGUACUUAAAUACUUUUAAAUAACCAUUCCAAAAUCUUGAAUUCUGCAGUCAGACAGAACACUUGAGCUGUCAUUCACAAAUCCUGUUUUUUCGUAAUAAUGGGAUUACUGGAGGAGUUUUGCAGUAGCUUUGAGAAAAGUCAGUCUUUCCUAUCUGUACUUUCAUCUUUUAAACUGGGGGAGGGAUGUAUAAAAAAAUCCAUCUUAUUAAAAUAAACAAAGCCUAUUUGUGUGAAGAAACUGAAUCAGUUUUCAUUACCAUCCUGUACACAAACCAAAUAUGACAGAGAUUCAUACAGUUCAGUCACAUUCAAGUGACAUUUAUUAGUUUGCUGUUCUGUGGAUUGCACACAAUUUUGAGGGCUGUGUUUGCUUCCUUAUGGUUUAAUGGCAAUUUUAGGUAACCUUGUUCCUUGUGUGGUUGCUUUAUGUCUAAAAUAUUUGCAAUACGGGCUGGCAACAUCAUCUGAUAGAUGCCUAGAAACGUUGCUUAAUUCUGUUAAGACACAUGGUGGCAUUAAACAGUAGCAGAGCUCACCAGGAAAAAGAAAUUAGAUUGCAGUUUGCAAAGGGAGUUGCAGAAAGGCUUGCUGGGUGAGGAUCCCUUUGCAGGGAGAUUUGGCUGGACUAGCUUUCCUGAGGGCUGCUGAAGGACUAGACUAAGGUUAUGGAUACAAGAAUCAGCUCCAUUCACUGGCUCCAUGAGCUGCUCGGGAAAGUAUGAUGUCCUUUGCCAGAGAGAGGCGGAGCGGUCUGGGAAUGAACGAGGAAUUAAUACAAGGAAAGCUGUGAGGGUUUCCCCGGGUUGAAAGAUGGUUCCCAAGGAAACUCCACCACUUGACCGUGUGACAAAUCUCCUGGGAUAUACAUGGCAUAUGCAGUCUGAUGUCUUCACUGCAAGCCUGGAACAUGUGGCCAGCAAUUGCUCGUGCUGCCCCAACACAGCAGGAGCUGAGAUUAGCGGGCACUUCCCAAAGCUGUUUUUCUGGCAGACUCAAUUCCCUGACCCCUUCUGUGAGAAAGCUUCACAGAUCAAGGAGGCAGUGUGCCUCCCUCUUCAAUGCCAGAAGGAUUCGCAUGAGGGAGAAAUAAGCAAACUGACUUGCCAAAGACAGAGGAGAGAGCAUGGAAAUUAUUUUCAAUCUGUGUUUUUGCAAGUGCAGGGAGAGGCUUCCUCUGCUCCACUUCCGUGGAGUUGCACACUGCCAGACUCAGGCCAGCUUCUGAAACUCUGCCGGUUAGCACUUUGAGCAAAAAAUAAUUUUAAGCAUCUUGUAAAACUCUUCCCUGAAAGAGAAAGAAAUGUUUUACUUUCUCCUGUCAAAUUGUAACCAUAUCUCAGAAGAGAAAAAAAUGUGUUUUGGCACACAACGAGGUCAGGCUGCAUUUUGAUGGCACUGUUCACACUUCGUCCCUGAAACAGACUGAGCAUUUGGCAGAGCAACACAAUUUAUUACUGAAUGAGAAGAUGUGAAGAACAUUUGGGUUUAACCUCUCCACCAACAGACGUUUUAAAAUACUCCUAGCAAGCUGCUCCUUUCUGAUAGCAAAAUACUAUCAGAAGUUGGUGGUACACUGCUCUUCCCAGGAUCUAGUCGCUGUAGUAGGUCAGAGCAAAGAUCAGGCCAGGCUGGGGUCCCUUGAUAGGAGACAAUAGCUGAUGUUUCAGGUAACAUGUCCCACAAUAUGAUUAUGCACACUGCAAAAAUCAUUAUUCACUCCCUGCCCAAUUAGAUGGCACGGGGAACUGCAGUACACUCUUUUCUGGCCCUGGCAUGAACCAUUGCCAGCGGUGUGCAGGUGAUUUACGGAUGCUUGUAGGAAGCUCCUGUGCACACACCCGUCAUCUGAAAACAGGCCUCUCUCCUCAUCCCCUCCCCAGCCUCCUCCUCCAUGCCAUCCAUGUUACUGAAAACGGAGAUUUUUGUCCUUAAAUGGCUGCAGGCGUGGGUGGAGCCUGGUGGGAGCCCUGCUCAGCAUCCUGCCCUGCUCAGCAUGGGAGCACUUGCACCAUGUUCCACAAAGCUAAUAUGCUGAACAUGGCACCAUGCCUUUGGCUUCGCUCAGUUGAGCUAGUGCCUGAAAGGAAAAAAAGUGAAGGGAGUGAUCAGAGAAAGUGUGCAGAAGUCUCCUGCUCUCUUUUCUUUUGUUUAUUAUCACCUCUCUUUAACACACCCAGGCUGUCCUCAGGAAACCUGUGUUCUCCACCACCACCCUGCACAGUUUGGGGAGAAAACAGGGCAUCAGCUCGAAUUCCAAAAGUAAGGAAAAACCUGCAACACAUGGGCUUGCUAAUUAUUUAGAGCCUUGAAUAAAAGCUUGGCAUUUUCAGGCAUUGCUAAGGGCAAGGUGGAUGCCUGCUCACCCUCUCAUCCCCAGGGAUUUUUAGGUGCAGACCAUGGCAUGUAUUUCUAAUGUCAUUGGGCUAUAAAAAGAAGUGUGUGCAUGAUCCCACGGCUCCCUAGGAGUGAAUAAGUGAUGAGAUUGGAAGUGUCAUCCAAGACAGGCUCAUGCAGCCAGACGUCACUGCUGCUUCAACACCACCACAGAUCCCUCAGCGUUGAAGAGGGUGACAUAUCUGCUGUUUGCAGAUGGGUAGGAGGCAUUUCCAGGCUGCUUUAGCAUGUGAGUGGCAAUAAUCCUAAGGCCUCCCUGAGCCAGACAGUGCUGCUGGUUUCUGCCAACAUCAUGCCUUUGGGAACUAACCCAAGGCCUACUUCAGAAGCAGAGGGACUAGAGAAGGUCAGUGGGCGUUUCUGUGCCCAGUGUGGCCUCUGGGGGCAGGAAAACCAAAGCACAGGUAGCUCAGGGACUGCAUUAAGUGAGCUGUGUCUCUAUUAAACACAGUUUCAUGUGUUCUGGGACCACCUAGGGCUCUGUUAUGCAUCCCACUGCCAUCCUGGCCUGGAUCUUCAAAGCCCAGUUCCAGAAGGCACAACCUGAAUUUCAGCUAAAGACAUGGAAAUAAGCCUCUUGCACUGUAUUGCUUUGAGGUCUUUCUCCCACAGCAGUCUUUCAGAGAAACUAGAAUAUGGAGCUAGGAUUUAAUGUGAAAAAGAUAGGGUAUGAAUCUACCGGUCACCGUUGUAGAGCUCAGCGGGUGGGACAUCAACACAUUACUUUCUCUGUAGCAAGCUGACUUGUGUUUUACCCUCUUUCUCUGCAGAAGAGAUGCUGGCCCCCCUCUCUCUCCUUCCAGCCCAUCCUUCUCAGUAAUGCGCUGUAACCCAUGACCUCUCAGAUAAAAGAUGAGAAUGCUAAUUGCUUGGAAACACUCCACAGAAAGUGGAUGUUAAGUGGACUAAAGCUAAACAGCAAUGGAAAUUACAACAUGGGCAUCAUCAGAAUCCAUCACAACUAAUGAGAUUAGGGCGGAUACCACAAGAAUUCUUAAUGAUCUACUCUGUGCCCCAAAAUUUUUAUCAGUGCAUCUGAACCAUGCUUUGCUCUUCUCCAGCCCUCUACUUGCACACUUUGAAGAGUACAGAUGAGGGAAGACCCCAGGAGCCUUUCAUCCUACUCUGUACCUCUCUUAUACAACCCUUGUUUCUAAUUAUAUGCAGACACAACAGCAAUGGCAACGACUUCAUAGUGAACCCCCGUAAUGAAUAAAUCAUCCUAAUUUCAAGGCAAAGUUAGCACAACCAUCCACUGUGUCAUUUCCAUGAAUCACAGUGAUAAAAGGCCAUGCUUGUUAAGACAUUGCUUAUGCAAAUGCAAUACAGCACUAAUGAAUGUAAGCAAAGUCCUACAGUGCCAGGACAAGGCAGGCUUGUGCCAAAACUCCUAGGAAGCGGCUGUUGCUUUGUUCAAAGGAAUAAGUGAUGGGCUGGGGCAGAGAGGCUCUCAGGAGCCUGGGACUGUACUAUUCAGCUAUUUCAGAUCCAAGGUUAUGGUCCUUAUUCUUUAGGAACAUGCUUUCAUACCAAAUAUUUCUAAUUUAUAAGCAGCAAGGCCUCUCUCUGAGUUCUUGGAAACUGUGAUAGGGGAGAGGGUACUCUGAACCAGGAUGGUCCAAAGAUCAGCUCCUUUGUGAUGAGAUAGCAGCUUAUUGGGAGUGCAGUGUAAGGUGCUGGAAAGGACCUACAAUACUUUGGAUUUCUUUCAUUAUUCUCCAAAGCCUAAUCUAAUUUAACAGCUCACAAAGCAGGGCUUUGCUGAGGAGGUAUCUCUGUUUUCAAGCAGAUCUCAUUGUUAUUGUGUCUGUACUGAUAUUCGAUACCUUGAUGUUAUUGUAUAUAUUCUCCAGAAGCCUAUAAAAGAGGUCUAGAGCCAAACAAGGGUUAGUCCUGUGGUGCUAGAUGAUUUAUAGGUAAAGUGUAAGAAAAGGCCCUGCCACGAACAGCCAGAUGGGCAAAAUAGCUGGGUGAGGGAUAGGAUGGCAGAGAAAGGCAGAAUGAUUUCCUCAAGGUCACACAAGUCACAGCACAAAGCUGGGAAUAGGCUUGAUGACUCACAGGGAAGUGCAAUAUAUUGUCCUGCUGAUGCAGAAGUCUCUGAUAUCCCUGACUAACACACCACAUGAAGAAAUUAUUUCAUGCUCUGGAAUUCUAUGGCACCAAGUAUCAGCCAAAAAAGGUCUAAAACAAUGAAUGUAACUCAAUAUAUGCCACCAAAGGUUUUCUGUUCCCCAUAGGUGCCAUGCACAAUUGAUUUUCAUUUACAGUUGCUUUCUUUGUUAGAUGAUGUCAUGGAUUAUUUAUCUCUGAAAGCCUUAAAUGAUACAAAGCACUUGAUGAGUCAUUGGGAAAACCAGUCUUCAUGUCUCGCUGGUGCAAGAAGAAAGGACCAUAAAUUCCCUACCCUCAGUGUUUCCAAGACUUGAAAGCAAUUGCAUUGCUCUCAUACAGUGAAUGCAGCUCUCCCACGAUUCCCAAGUCAUGCAAUCAAGCAGUUAGUACUUCACUGCUUGGUAUUUGGUUUCAAAGCCUACCAGUGUCACUCAUUGCUCCAGAAAUGAGCACCUGAAGGCACCUUGGACUGGUAAUAUUUGACUGUGCCUCAGUUGGCCAAGGCUGGAGCAGAGGUGCUGUUCAGUCUGCAGCUGAGCCAGUGAAAGGCAUAAUUUUCCCUUGCAUAACACUAUUGGAGCGUUUGACCUACUAAGGUCUGCAUUGUCACAACAUGUGUUGGUACCCCCAACGUAGUUCUGUAUUUUAUUAGGUUCAUGCAAUUCCCCUUUGCAGCCUCAAAACAAAGCAAAAACAUGCCUCAAGCACACUGAUAAAGGGCUUUUGAAUGGAGAUGGAUGAAUCACACACCAUUUCACAAUUAGCACUUUAAUUUUGAACAUUAAUUAGGGCACUGGUGUUUGGAGAGUUUAGUUCUCAUCGACCCACUUACAUUGUUCAGAGAAGGCCUAAAGAGAUACUGAAGUUUGCAGAGAAAUCAAUAGGAAAAAUGAAAAGUCAGUACCAGCUGCAGCCCAUGAGCUGAAUACUGGCGACCUGGGAAAUGCUUCACGAAAAAAGACUUGCUUACUAGAGCAUGGGAAGAAGCAGUAUUUCAGUUACAAUACCGUGACACUAAAGAAAUAUAGGCACACUGAAGCAAGAGAGUGGUUUCAUGUGCAAGGCACAGGAUAGGCUACAGAUGGGAAUCCACAGCCCAGCUUUGGUUCACUGAAUAGUUCUCCUAGGCACUAUUACAGUUAUCUUAGCGAGCUCUAACAUCCUUUGAAAACAUUAUUCUUGUGCAAGAGAAAAAAUGUUACCUAUUUGGAGGUGUAAACACAAUACCUAAAGCCAAGAGUCUGUAAAGAGGCUUGGAUGUGAUUUCAUUAUGAAUACACUCUGAUGAAAUGAGAUUUACUGGCUUUUCUUUACAUAAGGAAGUGGAAUGAAAUCUGGAAAUAAAAACAGAUAGAGAUCAGCACAUCCCAGCCAUAAUAUAAGCAGGUGUACUACUAAGCAGUAGCUACAGGUGAAGCAACGAAUUUAUUUAUUCUAAAGAAUUACAGACACUGAAAACACCUGCUACUUUCCAGAAAGAUAAAAGCCAAGAGAAGAUAUUGCCUCCCAAGCCAUCAAAAGAAGAAACUGAAUUAUGAAGAAGUCAGCUGAACAAUACACCUCCAUCAUGGCAAUAGCAGAGUGACGUUUAUCAUAUUCUGAGGACCACCUUGUAUAUCAGUGAGAAGACAGCAAGGACAUCCCUGCAGCAAAAGCAUCCAAAGUAGGGUUUGGAAUACAGAUAGCAUGUUAAGUUUUGCAGGUUGAAUGGGAGUUUUAGGGAGCAAGGAGGACGUUACCAGGUCACACUUGCUACAGCCUUUCUGGCAUGUAAAUGAGGACUUUCCUCUUUCAAGUUUCUCAUCUCAGUAUGCAGGAGGCAAUAUGUCUCACUCCCUCCCCUUUUUCUGUCCCCUGGCACAGAAAAGGCAAGACCUCAAACCCUGAGAAUUUGCAUCGGAUACCGCUGCUGGAAAACACACAGCAGAUUGGAGAGUUGCAUGAAUGUACUUUAUUUUCCUUUACGUGGGGG